rnacentral:rRNA from 1 species
GCUGGCGGCGUGCUUAACACAUGCAAGUCGAACGAGAACGGUCCUAGCUUGCUAGGAUGUCAGCUAAGUGGCGGACGGGUGAGUAAUGUAUAGUUAAUUUGCCCCUUAGAGAGGGAUAACAGUUAGAAAUGACUGCUAAUACCUCAUACUCCUUCUUUGCACAAGUAGAGUUGGGAAAUGAAUUUCGCCAAGGGAUCGGACUGUAUUGUAUCAGCUAGUUGGUAAGGUAAUGGCUUACCAAGGCUAUGACACAUAGCGGGUCUGAGAGGAUGAUCCGCCACACUGGUACUGAGACACGGACCAGACUCCUACGGGAGGCAGCAGUGGGGAAUAUUGCACAAUGGACGCAAGUCUGAUGCAGCAACGCCGCGUGGAGGAUGACACAUUUCGGUGCGUAAACUCCUUUUAUAAAGGAAGAAAUUUGACGGUACUUGAUGAAUAAGCACCGGCUAACUCCGUGCCAGCAGCCGCGGUAAUACGGAGGGUGCAAGCGUUACUCGGAAUCACUGGGCGUAAAGGACGCGUAGGCGGUUUGAUAAGUCGGAUGUGAAAUCCUAUGGCUUAACCAUAGAACUGCAUCUAAAACUGUCAAACUAGAAUGAGGGAGAGGUGAAUGGAAUUAGUGGUGUAGGGGUAAAAUCCGUAGAGAUCACUAGGAAUACUCAUUGCGAAGGCGAUUCACUGGAACUUAAUUGACGCUGAGGCGUGAAAGCGUGGGGAGCAAACAGGAUUAGAUACCCUGGUAGUCCACGCCCUAAACGAUGUACACUAGUUGUUGCGAUGCAAGUCAUUGCAGUGAUGCAGUUAACACAUUAAGUGUACCGCCUGGGGAGUACGGUCGCAAGAUUAAAACUCAAAGGAAUAGACGGGGACCCGCACAAGCGGUGGAGCAUGUGGUUUAAUUCGACUAUACGCGAAGAACCUUACCUGGACUUGACAUCCUAUUAAUGAUUUAGAGAUAAGUUAGUGCUAGUUUACUAGAAAAUAGUGACAGGUGCUGCACGGCUGUCGUCAGCUCGUGUCGUGAGAUGUUGGGUUAAGUCCCGCAACGAGCGCAACCCUUUUCUUUAGUUGCUAACAGUUCGGCUGAGAACUCUAAAGAUACUGCCUGGGUAACCAGGAGGAAGGUGAGGACGACGUCAAGUCAUCAUGGCCCUUACGACCAGGGCUACACACGUGCUACAAUGGCUAGGACAAAAAGAAGCAAAAUCGUGAGGUGGAGCAAAUCUUUAAACCUAGUCCCAGUUCGGAUAGCAGUCUGCAACUCGACUGCUUGAAGUUGGAAUCGCUAGUAAUCGCGAAUCAGCAAUGUCGCGGUGAAUACGUUCCCGGGUCUUGUACUCACCGCCCGUCACACCAUGGGAGUUGAAUUCACCCGAAGCCGGAAUACCAAAUUGGUUACUGUCCACGGUGGGUUUAGCGACUG